GAGGCGGCUCCGGGGUAGCGGGCCCGGGCGGGCCGCUCCUCCCUUUGAAGCGGUUUUGCGCCUGUUUCCGCCCGCGGCGUCGGCGCUCACGCAGGGGCGGGUGACGGCGGCGCGGAGCGGGGCCGGGCGGGAAGGGACGUCGUGGCGGCGGCGGCGGCGGCAGGUUGAGCAGCAGCGGCGGUGCUGUCAGUCGGGCCGUCGGAGAAAUGGGAGAGCCGGGGGCGGAGAUAAUAGAAUCUGUCCCUCCAGCUGGGCCGGAGGCAUCCGAGUCGACAACGGAUGAAAACGAAGAUGACAUUCAGUUUGUUAGCGAAGGACCAUUGAGACCUGUUCUUGAAUACAUUGAUCUGGUCAGCAGUGAUGAUGAAGAGCCCAGCACCUCUCAUAGUGAUGAUAAUGUUAAGCAUAAAGACUAUAUUGACCAUCAGAAGGAUAAAGUUGCUUUAACUCUGGCUCGUCUAGCCCGCCAUGUUGAAGUGGAGAAACAGCAGAAAGAAGAGAAGAAUAGAGCAUUCAGGGAAAAAGUUGAUUUUCAGCAUGCUCAUGGGUUACAAGAAUUGGAAUUUAUUCGAGGACAUUCUGAUACAGAAGCAGCAAGACUAUGUGUGGACCAGUGGCUAAAAAUGCCAGGACUCAAAACUGGCACAAUUAAUUCUGGAACAAAAAGUUCAUUCCGAAGAGGAGGCCAAAUGCGGGUAUCUGGGAAGCCAAUUUCAUGUCCCAUAAUGCACUGUAACAAGGAAUUUGAUAAUGGGCACCUUCUCUUAGGACAUUUGAAAAGGUUUGAUCACUCUCCAUGUGAUCCGACAAUUACACUACAUGGACCUUUCUUCAGUUCCUUUGCUUGUGUAGUGUGUUAUAAAACUUUUGUUACUCAACAGCAAUAUAGAGAUCACCUUUUUGCUAAGGAAGCUGCAGAUGAUGGACAUAAAAACAACCUUCUUCCUCAGAUUAUUCAGUGUUUUGCCUGUCCAAAUUGCUUCCUUCUUUUUCGCAGCAAGGAUGAGUGUUUGAAGCAUAUGUCUGGAAAGAAUCAUUUCCAUCAGAGGUUUAAAAUGGGUGAUGACAAGGGAAUAGCACAUCCAAUAUCAUUUCCAUCUUUUGCAAAGAAACUUUUGAUCUCUCUGUGCAAAGAUGUUGCAUUUCAAGUUAAGUGUGUGGCCUGCCACCAGACACUGCGUUCCCACAUGGAGCUCACUGCCCAUUUCAGAGUUCGUUGUCGAAAUGCUGGUCCUGUAGCUGUAGCUGAGAAAAGCAUUGCCCAGAUUGCAGAGAAGUUCAUAUUGAGAGGUUAUUGUCCAAAUUGCAACCAAGGCUUUGUGGAUGAAAGCAGUACCCGAAAUCACAAGAAGAAUUCAGGACACAAAGUCCGAGCCAUUAACUCAAUGGAAGAAUCAGUCUUACUUUAUUGCCACAGCAAUGAAGGGAACAAACCUCCUUCUGACUUGCAUCUAUUGCUGGAUCAAUCAAAAUUUUCAUCUCUUAAAAGAACUAUGUCUGUUCAAGAAUCUGGCUCACAAGAGCACAGCACCAUUCCAGAAAAGAAGAUGAAUUUAGGAGAUAAAAGUUGUGAAGAUAGAUUCUGUGUCCAGAAAGAAAAGUCAGUUGUUAAAACCUGGUUUUGUGAAUGUCGUCAACAAUUCCCAAGUGAAGAUGCAGUAGAAAAGCACGUUUUUUCGGCAAACACAAUGUGUUAUAAGUGUGUGGUCUGUGGAAAGGUGUGUGAAGAUUCAGGGGUCAUCCGUUUACAUAUGAGCCGCAUUCACGGAGGGGCACAUUUAAAUAACUUUCUUUUCUGGUGUCGGACAUGCAAAAAGGAGUUAACAAGGAAAGAGACUAUCAUGGCACAUGUGACCGAAUUUCAUAAUGGACACAGAUAUUUUUAUGAGACGGAUGAGGUAGAAGGUGAAACUUUAGCAUCAUCCUCUACAAUGCUGGUGAGUAAUUUGACUGCUAAGAAUCCUUCUUCAACUAUUACUAUUACCGAUCAUUCCCCAGCGAACCGUCCUCCAAGGGGUAAAUGGCAAUGCCGAAUUUGUGAAGAUAUGUUUGAUUCCCAAGAAUGUGUAAAGCAGCACUGCAUGUCUUUGGCAAGUCACCAAUUCCAUAGAUACAGUUGUGCCCAUUGCAAAAAGACUUUUCACAAAGUAGAAACACUGUACCGACAUUGCCAGGAUGAACAUGACAAUGAGAUAAAGAUAAAGUACUUCUGUGGGCUUUGUGAUCUUAUCUUUAAUGUGGAAGAAGCGUUUUUGAGUCAUUAUAAGGAGCACCACAGUAUAGAUUAUGUGUUUGUGUCAGAAAAAACUGAAACUUCGAUUAAAACUGAGACUGAUUUUCCAGUAGUAGAGAUCAGCAACCUGUUAACCUGUGGUUGCCGUGAGAGUUACAUCUGUAAAGUCAACAGAAAGGAAGAUUAUAGUCGAUGUCUCCAAAUCAUGCUGGAUAAAGGUACACUGUGGUUUCGCUGCAGUUUAUGUUCCGCAACAGCACAGAACGUAGCCGACAUGAACACUCAUAUCCAUCAAGUGCACAGAGAAGAAAAGAGUGAGGAGGAGCAGCAGUAUGUGAUCAAGUGUGGCACCUGCACCAAAACAUUUCAUGAUCCUGAGAGUGCUCAGCAGCACUUCCAUAGAAAGCACUGCUUCUCACAGAAACCUAGUGUGGCUCAUUUUGGAUCUGAAAAAACAAGCCUCUACAAGUUUGCUGCCAGUACCUCACGCACAGAGAGAAAACCGAAACAGGCAGUAAGCUGUCCAAAAAGUUCAGACGUGGAGAAAGGAGCCGAGAAUGACCUAAGCUCUCAGAAUAUAGAUGAAGAAGAUGUUGAGCUUCCAGAUUUGGAUUACCUGCGAACCAUGACUCAUAUAGUCUUUGUAGAUUUUGAUAACUGGUCAAACUUUUUUGGUCAUCUACCAGGGCAUCUUAACCAAGGAACGUUUAUUUGGGGCUUUCAAGGAGGAAACACCAAUUGGAAGCCUCCACUCAACUGUAAGAUCUAUAAUUACCUGAAUAGAAUUGGGUGCUUCUUCCUUCAUCCUCGCUGUAGUAAAAGAAAAGACGCUGCUGAUUUUGCCAUAUGUAUGCAUGCUGGCCGUCUAGAUGAACAACUACCCAAGCAAAUUCCUUUCACCAUCCUCUCAGGAGAUCAAGGAUUUCUGGAGCUAGAGAAUCAAUUUAAGAAGACUCAGAGGCCAGCACAUAUACUAAACCCUCACCACUUAGAGGGAGAUAUGAUGUGUGCCUUGUUAAAUAGCAUAUCUGAUACCACCAAAGAAUGUGACAGUGAUGAUAACCUGGGUAAUAAAAGUACUUCAGUAGGAGAAGAAUUCAGAUCCACAGAAGUGUUUCUAUGGAAGGACGGGUGUUUAGAGCUGCCUACUCCUCCAUUUUGUUGAAUUCACUCCAAGACUGAUUUUAUUUCUUCUUUAAAUGUUUCAGAGAAUUCACUGGUAAAACUCUCUGGGCCCUGAGUUUUUUUUCUGGGAAGUCUUUUGAUAAUAAAUUCAUUUUCUUUAAUAUAUGUAAGUAUUUGGGUUUUGUUUCUUUUUGUGUCAGUUUUGGAGAAUUGUGCUUUUAAAGACAUUUGCUCAUUUUACCUAGAUUAUCAUGUACCAGUGUAAAGUUGUUCAUAAUAAUAUUCUGUUUUUAUAUAUUUUUAUAUUUCUGUAGGAUCUGUGGUGAUAUCUCCUCAUUUGUUCCUGAUAUUGAUGUGGAAUUAGAAGAAGCUAUUAGAAGAAGUCUUGAGGAAAUGUAAUUAAAGAUAUUACCGCACAACAUCAAGUGACCUUGAAGAGACUCAAAAUAAUGAAUUCUUGAGUUUGUUUUCUAAAGGAUGCCAGAAAUCUACUAGUACAAAUGUAUUUGAAAACAUGCUUUUUUUCUUUUACAUGUUCAAAAUAUAAUAUUUGCUUUGUAUUUUUGUGCUAUUUUGCAAAAAUGUACAGAGGAAUAGAAUACAUGUUAAUGCAAAUAUAAAUCAUGUAUUCUAAUAUAAGUAUCACAGUUUCCCAGUUAACAUAGAAUUCAUAUAUUUAGGUUAAAAGAAUUUAAAAAAAAUAGAAAAGCUCUUGACUAUUGUUUAUAUGUUUCCCAAAUAGCAUUAGUUCUUUAUCUGUACUGUACAGAUGAUUCUGGGUUUUUUUCAGGAGUGAAAAUGAAUAUAAAUAAAGCUGUCAUAGCUCAGUUUCUCUGUAAAUUCCACUUAUCGUGGCACUAAUAUAUAAUACCUUUGAGAUCUCUGCUUAUGAUUAUUAGAAGAGAGUAAUGGAAACUGAUCAUGGAAACAGAUUAAAAAUUUUACCAGCAUGUUCUUUGUGGAUUUCACUCAGAUGUGUAUUCCUGCUUUAAUUAGAUGAGCACAUUGCGGGAAUAAAAAAAGACCCCUAAUUUCUUUGAAAUUAUUAAAAAGAAACCUUUUCCAUUCCUUUUACCUGCUUAGACUUUUAUGUGACUUGUAUUAUCUACUGUGUAAAGGGAAUGAUGUCAAAAUAUUUACAUAGAGUUAAACUUAUUUUUAAUAAUAUUAGUCUUUUUUUAUAUAUAUUUGUGUAAACAUAAUAUUCUUCAAAAAAUAAUGUUGACAGUCUACUCAGGAUUAAUCUUCCUUAACCCUUUAAAAUUUUUGUUUCAUAUGGAAAGAACUAUCUUCACUUUAUUCAUUAAAUUGUCAGUUUUCCUACUUUGAGUAUUACAUAUUUAAUUUUUAAAUGUCGAGGCCCUCAUUUUGAAUAAUAAAAAAUAUUACAUAAUUAGAAGACUAAGAAGGGCUUGUCAAACUAUUUGUGUGUAUAUGCUUCAUGUUAUUUGACCAGAAAUGUCAUCCCUAAAAUUCUGAAUGGUAAUUACUUACCAAACUUAAAAUUUUCUAUAAAUAUAAAUUUUUCUUUGACAAAAAAAAUCAUGGCUAGAAAUUCUUUCUCUGCAACUAGAUAUUUUAGUGUGAAAUAGCAUUACUUUUUAAAAAAAAUUACCGUAGUCUUUUCAAUUCACAUUGGAAACCAUUUUGUGUUUUUAUUUCUUAAGAUGUCUGUUCUAUACUACCUGCUUGCAUUUUUUUUAAGUAGACCUCACGGCUUGAGAAUUUACCAGUCAUUUUUCCAAAAUGACCACACUGUACUUUUAAUUUAUAUGUUAAAGUGGCCAAGCAAGGCUUUGGGAGGCAGUCACUGAGCCCGACCUCAAAGACAUCUAUCUGCAGGAGCUUGCUCAGCAGUGAGGGCCACAAAGGACGUUCCAGGAAGAAAAGGGCUUAAGCAGAUGUAGGGAAGAGGAAGAAACAGCACCUCUUUGCCAGAGGGGCCACACGUGGGUGUGAUGUACACUGACGUUCUAGUUAGAAGCUUUUGUAGUGUGUAUGGUAGAGAGGAAGUGAAGCUUGGCAUUUGAUAGGAAAGGAAUAUUUCACUGUGACCUUUAAGAAAAGGUAACUGGGUUGUUUAAUGGUGUACUUAAUCAUUGUCACUGAUUGUAUUUCUACUUGUUAAGCAAUUAAAAAUCAUUUUUAAAUUAC